rnacentral:rRNA from 1 species
GAUGAACGCUGGCGGCGUGCUUAACACAUGCAAGUCGAACGAAGCAUUUGCGACAGAUUUUUUCGGAAUGAAGUUGCUUAUGACUGAGUGGCGGACGGGUGAGUAACGCGUGGGUAACCUGCCUUGUACUGGGGGAUAGCAGCUGGAAACGGCUGGUAAUACCGCAUAAGCGCACAAUGUUGCAUGACAUGGUGUGAAAAACUCCGGUGGCAUAAGAUGGACCCGCGUCUGUUUAGCUAGUUGGUGAGAUAACAGCCCACCAAGGCGACGAUCAGUAGCCGAGCUGAGAGGGUGACCGGCCACAUUGGGACUGAGACACGGCCCAGACUCCUACGGGAGGCAGCAGUGGGGAAUAUUGCACAAUGGAGGAAAAUCUGAUGCAGCGACGCCGCGUGAGUGAAGAAGUAAUUCGUUAUGUAAAGCUCUAUCAGCAGGGAAGAUAGUGACGGUACCUGACUAAGAAGCUCCGGCUAAAUACGUG